rnacentral:lncRNA from 1 species
GUGCAUCAUAUCUGGCAUGUGUUAAACGUUCAAUAAUGUUAAUUCUUAAGACAGUCUCAGCCCUUUCUCUUUGACCUCGUUGUGGAUGGGUAGAGACGACCCAGUUCCAUUUACAUCAUUACUUCCUAUCACUUAUUCCCAUCAUUCUUUUCCCAUUCUCUUAGACAUGCAGGGAAAUAGCAAUUUAAUUUUAAAAUUAGCAUUUAUCUUUGCCUCUCCACCUAGGUCGUGUGUCAUUAUAGCAGCUGUUUGGUGUUUAUCUGAGAAAGCUCUUUGGUUAAUAAUAUGCUAUUGGAUUGCUGUUGAGCGUCAAUUGGGAGGCAGCCUGGAAAACAGCACUAAGUAAAGUAAACACAGCCAUAACCUUUUCUUCUCUCUGCCUCUCAUGCUGCCUGAAAGAAGUACACAGCUUCUCUUUUUCCAUCACUAACUCAUAAAUGGAAGGAGCAGGUAAUAAAUAUCAUGGGGCUGAUGGGUUUCCAGGGAGCCUGAGAAAGAGUGAAGGAGGCUGCCGGAAAGCCAGAGCAGUGUGUGAAUGAACCUUAAAACUGUGACCGCCUCCCCCUUGUGCAGCCACGGGAGUAGGAUGACCCCCAGUUGACUGAGAAAGCGCACGUCACCAGAGGCAGCAAUGAGCCCCACCACCUGGCACCACCGCUAAUGGCUUUGGCUUCGGCAGAGAGCGGUGUCAGGGCUGCAGACGGAGCACAGAUGGGAGUGGCAUCCUACAAGAUCCCCAGCUCAGCGCUCACUUUUGUAGUGAAGACAUGCUUUAAAAUCAUCGAGUGUGCCUGCCUUUGAGAUUUGCAAGAGGAAGCAAAGAGCACGUUAAUGAAACUUGGGAGGAAACUGAAUUUAGAGCUGCUGCAAACACAGAAGUAAUGAAAGCAAACAUAAAGAUGUUAGAAGUGUGGUCAGGAAAUUAAAAAAAAAAGAGCUACAGCUUGGAAAAUAGAUUUUGAACAUUCGCAAAGACUGAUUUGCUCCAGGACUGUCUAGAACCACAUUCCCAGAAGUGUAUUCUGGGAGCAUUAGUCCUACCAGAUGCUCUACCAAAUAAAGGACUCUUG